rnacentral:rRNA from 1 species
CUGCUGCCUUCCGUAGGAGUCUGGUCCGUGUCUCAGUACCAGUGUGGGGGCCUUCCUCUCAGAACCCCUACGCAUCGUCGCCUCGGUGGGCCGUUACCCCGCCGACUAGCUAAUGCGCCGCAUGCCCAUCCGUGGCCGGGAUUGCUCCCUUUGGCGGCCUUGGGAUGCCCCAAGGCCGCGUUACGCGGUAUUAGACGGGGUUUCCCCCGCUUAUCCCCCUGCCACGGGCAGGUUGCAUACGUGUUACUCACCCGUGCGCCGGUCGCCGGCAACGG